rnacentral:rRNA from 1 species
GAUGAACGCUGGCGGCGUGCUUAACACAUGCAAGUCGAACGAAGCACUCUGAUUACUUCGGUUUGAAGAGUGACUGAGUGGCGGACGGGUGAGUAACGCGUGGGUAACCUGCCUCAUACAGGGGGAUAACAGUUAGAAAUGACUGCUAAUACCGCAUAAGCGCACAGUACCGCAUGGUACGGUGUGAAAACUCCGGUGGUAUGAGAUGGACCCGCGUCUGAUUAGCUAGUUGGUGGGGUAACGGCCCACCAAGGCGACGAUCAGUAGCCGACCUGAGAGGGUGACCGGCCACAUUGGGACUGAGACACGGCCCAA